UACGGGGGGAGCAAGCGUUGUUCGGAUUUACUGGGCGUAAAGGGCGCGUAGGCGGUCAGUGCAAGUCAGUUGUGAAAUCUCCGGGCUUAACUCGGAAAGGUCAACUGAUACUGCUCGACUAGAGUGCGGAAGGGGCAACUGGAAUUCUUGGUGUAGCGGUGAAAUGCGCAGAUAUCAGGAGGAACACCGGUGGCGAAGGCGGGUCUCUGGGCCGAAAUUGACGCUGAGGAGCGAAAGCGUGGGGAGCAAACAGG
rnacentral:rRNA from 1 species